rnacentral:rRNA from 1 species
AGCUCCAAGAGCGUAUAUUAAAGUUGCUGCGGUUAAAAAGCUCGUAGUUGGAUUUCAGUCUAGGAAGGUUAACUCGCCGAAAGGUUGUACGUUGAUUUUCCUCAGACUUCGUCAGAAGCUCGUGCUGCACUUAACUGUGUGGUACGAUGUUCUGACCUUUUACCUUGAGGAAAGUAGAGUGUUUCAGGCAGGCUACCCAGCUUGAAUACAUUAGCAUGGAAUAAUGAAAUGGAUCUCGGUUCGAUUUCGUUGGUUCUAGAGCUGAGGUGAUGAUCAAUAGGAACAGGCGAAGGUAUUCGUACUUGAGAGUGAGGAGUGAAAUCCGAUGAUCUCUUAAAGACGAUCCGAGGCGAAAGCAUUUGUCAAGGAUGUUUUCAUUGAUCAAGAACGAAAGUACGCA